GCGUGGGUUGCCGAGCCUGGUCAAAGGCGCGGGGUUCAGGGCCCCGUCUUGUAGGAGUUCGCAGGUUCGAAUCCUGCCUCACGCA
rnacentral:tRNA from 1 species